GAGCCCGUAGCUCAGCACGGAUAGAGCACCGACCUCCUAAGUCGGGGGUCGUGGGUUCAAAUCCCACCGGGCUCGCCA
rnacentral:tRNA from 1 species